rnacentral:sRNA from 2 species
CCAUCAUCACUCUGUACUAUUCACGGCAAGUGAGGAGAGAGUCGGUGCGGCCGGUGAGUAGCACAAGCAGUAUCUUGAAGACUCCAAACCCUAUUAUACAUCUAUCUUUACAUGGCCCUGAGCACCAUUAUGACCUAUAUACACCCAGGGCUCACGGGCACCAUUAUAGUGAUAUCUGAAUUACUAGUCAAACCACAGUGUUAAUGCCAAUCCCAUAAACGAGUGUUGUGAUAGUCCGCAAUAGGAACCAGAGGGAGUCCCAGAGCCAACAGGGAAGUACAGACACUGGACCAUAUCCACGUAGUAACAUGUUAUAGCACUUGUCCUAAUGAUUGUGUUUAUCCCUCCACGUUUCUGACAGACGUUACAAAUUCAACCCUCGACAUCUCUUCCCGCACGGUAGAAUCCAGUUUGAAAUCCUGCGUAUCGAAAGGGUUUGUGCUCUAGCAAAACUCAGUGACGGACAAUUUAACAGAAAAUGGUUCUCCUUUGCCUGACCCGACAUUUCGUCCCAACAUGCUUUGGCAGCAUGUUCUUGUUCUUCUGGGGCAGUGUUCUC